rnacentral:rRNA from 1 species
AUGGCGGUUUCGUCCAAGCUUUUCCCGGCCGCCGUCCUCCUCCUGCUUCUCCUCCUGGCCACAGAGAUGGGGCCUGUGCGGGAGGCCAUGGCGUGCGAGCACGCCCCGUGCAAGAAGUGCACCGGGUCGUGCUUCGACCCGGAGGAGUGCGCCAUCACGUGCCGGAACGAGGGCUACGACUCCGGCGACUGCACCGGCGGCGGAGCCUACCGUUGCACGUGCAGCAAGAAUUGCUAG